rnacentral:lncRNA from 1 species
GGGAAAAGAAACAUGAGGAGAGGAAUACCUCCAUUGAAUAGAGCAGUCCAAGAGGGGUCGUUACGGGAGGGCAUUGAUCGACUCUAUGAUAUAGUGGAGAGGUUGGUCUCUACCCAGCAGGCUAGGGAGGAGAUGAGAGAGUUACCUGAUCUCCCUCCACCGCUACCACAGUAUGAUCCACCUCCACUAUAGCAAAAUCUAGUACCACCCCAGAGCAAUCCGAUUUUGCCCUGGUAUUAAACCAGUCCCUCUGAAGUACGACUUAGUUCCUCUUCCUUGUAAUCCUGUUCCUUUUCAGCAAGACCCAGCUCCACCCAUGAUGGACUCAGACUACAUCAAAAGGUAUAAGAGACUCAACCCAUCCAUUAUUGUAGGAGCAUCUAGUUUUAAAGAAGUUGAAUACUGGUUAAUAGAGACCGAGAAGGCCUUCAUGACACUUGGGGUGACCCCAGAAUAAAAGGUCAUCCUUGCGACAUACAUGUUCGUGGGCGAAGUAGGACAUUGGUGGCAACUCAAGCAGG